UACAGAGGGUGCGAGCGUUAAUCGGAAUUACUGGGCGUAAAGCGCGCGUAGGCGGCUUUGCAAGUCGGGUGUGAAAUCCCCAGGCUUAACCUGGGAACUGCAUUCGAGACUGCAUUGCUAGAGUAUGGGAGAGGGAAGUGGAAUUUCCGGUGUAGCGGUGAAAUGCGUAGAUAUCUGGAGGAACACCCGUGGCGAAGGCGGCUCACUGGCUCGCAACUGACGCUCAUGCACGACAGCGUGGGGAGCAAACAGG
rnacentral:rRNA from 1 species